GGCGAACGCUGGCGGCGUGCCUAAUACAUGCAAGUAGAACGCACAGUUUAUACCGUAGCUUGCUACACCAUAGACUGUGAGUUGCGAACGGGUGAGUAACGCGUAGGUAACCUGCCUGGUAGCGGGGGAUAACUAUUGGAAACGAUAGCUAAUACCGCAUAAUAUUGAUUAUUGCAUGAUAAUUGAUUGAAAGAUGCUAUUGCAUCACUACCAGAUGGACCUGCGUUGUAUUAGCUAGUAGGUGAGGUAACGGCUCACCUAGGCGACGAUACAUAGCCGACCUGAGAGGGUGAUCGGCCACACUGGGACUGAGACACGGCCCAGACUCCUACGGGAGGCAGCAGUAGGGAAUCUUCGGCAAUGGACGAAAGUCUGACCGAGCAACGCCGCGUGAGUGAAGAAGGUUUUCGGAUCGUAAAGCUCUGUUGUAAGAGAAGAACGGGUGUGAGAGUGGAAAGUUCACACUGUGACGGUAUCUUACCAGAAAGGGACGGCUAACUACGUG
rnacentral:rRNA from 1 species